rnacentral:misc_RNA from 1 species
CUUGUAUCCAAUCUAACAAGUGAGGCAGGCAGCAUUUACACUAUAACUACAACUAACUAAAUAAUUGUUCGGAUUUCAACGAACUCCCUCCCCACUACAUAAAUAUUAGAUUCUGUCAUAGAUUUCCAGGUCACGAUACUAUAUGAUACUGCUCUUUACAAAGGAAGCACUAUCACUCGGAAAAAAUCACCAUCUGCUAAAUUAUCCAUCCUGAUGUUAUAUCACUUAACCCCAGCAUGGCUAGGCUCCUUUAUUCUGUAUCUAUAUCAGAAGGCAUUAAUUUUAAACUAUGCCUGUGGCAAAACGAUAUAUUACCACUGCAUGGAGCACACUCUUCGCAGGACACGAGGCGGUUUUCGCUUCUCCACAACUGGAAUUACCUUCUCUAUUAUCUGUUUAUAAUGUGCUCUGGUUCGCUCUUCCUUCUCUUUCAACAGCUGUUCAUUCUCCUCCUCUAAUCUAACUGCUAUUGACUCAAGUUCCACUUGAUAAGCCUGUUUCCGUUCUCUAGACCGGGCAGCUGAUUCUCUGUUUUUAAUCAUCCUACGUUGCCUCUGCAGAGACGCCUUAUCUAAAGGUUCCAAAAUGGCUUUCCUCUUCCCUCUUCCACCUCCAAUCACAUCUAUUCCAUUUCCAUAUCCUUGCACGCUCUGCUGCGGCAUGGCCAUGUAUGGGGAAUCGAAUGCAAAAAUUCCACCACUCAACCUCUCAGUUCCUAGUUCAACCUUCACCUCACCUUGCACUGGCCCCUCCCCAGCCAGUGCCUCCUCCUCAACUGCUCCAGCUUUCACCAAAAAAUCCUCCAACGUCAUGAUUUCAUCCACUGCCUCCUCCUUACAUCCCGCAACUGCGGCCAUUCUCUGCUCCCUCUUCCCCUCCACAAUUUCCCUCCACACAUCAUCCACCGUCCUCCUAACCAAAGGUAUCCCACUAACCGUCGCUGUCUCGG